UACGUAGGGAGCAAGCGUUGUCCGGAAUCAUUGGGCGUAAAGCGCGCGUAGGUGGCCUCGUAAGUCCGCUGUGAAAGUCAAAGGCUCAACCUUUGAAAGCCGGUGGAUACUGUGAGGCUAGAGUACGGAAGAGGCGAGUGGAAUUCCUGGUGUAGCGGUGGAAUGCGCAGAUAUCAGGAGGAACACCAAUAGCGAAGGCAGCUCGCCGGGACGUUACUGACACUGAGGCGCGAAAGCGUGGGGAGCAAACAGG
rnacentral:rRNA from 1 species